rnacentral:rRNA from 1 species
GGAUGAACGCUGGCGGCGUGCCUAAUACAUGCAAGUCGAGCGAACAGACGAGGAGCUUGCUCCUCUGACGUUAGCGGCGGACGGGUGAGUAACACGUGGAUAACCUACCUAUAAGACUGGGAUAACUUCGGGAAACCGGAGCUAAUACCGGAUAAUAUAUUGAACCGCAUGGUUCAAUAGUGAAAGACGGUUUUGCUGUCACUUAUAGAUGGAUCCGCGCCGCAUUAGCUAGUUGGUAAGGUAACGGCUUACCAAGGCAGCGAUGCGUAGCCGACCUGAGAGGGUGAUCGGCCACACUGGAACUGAGACACGGUCCAGACUCCUACGGGAGGCAGCAGUAGGGAAUCUUCCGCAAUGGGCGAAAGCCUGACGGAGCAACGCCGCGUGAGUGAUGAAGGUCUUCGGAUCGUAAAACUCUGUUAUUAGGGAAGAACAAAUGUGUAAGUAACUAUGCACGUCUUGACGGUACCUAAUCAGAAAGCCACGGCUAACUACGUG